GUGGGGAAUAUUGCACAAUGGGGGAAACCCUGAUGCAGCAACGCCGCGUGAAGGAAGACGGUUUUCGGAUUGUAAACUUCUUUUCUUAGUGAAGAAGCAAGUGACGGUAGCUAAGGAAUAAGCAUCGGCUAACUACGUGCCAGCAGCCGCGGUAAUACGUAGGAUGCGAGCGUUAUCCGGAAUUACUGGGUGUAAAGGGAGCGCAGGCGGGACUGCAAGUUGGAUGUGAAAUGCCGCAGCUUAACUGCGGAGCUGCAUCCAAAACUGUAGUUCUUGAGUGGAGUAGAGGCAAGCGGAAUUCCGAGUGUAGCGGUGAAAUGCGUAGAUAUUCGGAGGAACACCAGUGGCGAAGGCGGCUUGCUGGGCUCUAACUGACGCUGAGGCUCGAAAGUGUGGGGAGCAAACAGG
rnacentral:rRNA from 1 species